rnacentral:sRNA from 1 species
GAUUUGGACAUCCCAUUCUUUAAAAAAUAUGUAUUAUAAUUGAGCAGACAUAUAUUAUCUUGUGGCUGUAUUAAAACUACAACACACUUUCUACGAGCAAAUCCAUGUAAAAAUUAAAGAUUAAAAUUAUACUUACUUUCCAUAAGUACAGGUGUAUACAUCCUAUUUAAAAAAAAUACAGUAAGCACAGAUUUUAAUUUUUAAGAGGAUAAACAAAAAUCAAAAUUUGAUUAUUUUAAAGUAGUAAUGUUUGGUUAAUCAGAGUUUAAUUAUGAUUUUAAGAACUGGUAAACAUAAGCACAGGGGACUUUUCAUUGAAAACAAUGUUAACAUUUGACAAUAAUAAUAAUAAUUGCAUCAAAACUUUCCUCUGAGUUAUUACACGGUCAUUAGUAUUGCUGAAACUGAUGUCUGGAAGCUUUGUGCAUGUACACCUAAAUAACAGUUCAAUUCUGAUAACCAUUAAAUCAUCGAUCAUUUGCUCUUCGUAGAACAAAUAUUUUGCAUAAUAACCCUUUCAUAUCGUUCCUAGAAAAUAAGAUAUGUAGACUAAGAUUUGUGACAGGUCAAGCUAUAUUCGGAGAAAAAUAUCUAUUUUUAAACACUUCGAUAACAGCAAAAAGUAUCACAGAAAGGGUUUACAGCUUGCCCGACAUGACCUCAUUGAUAACAUUGGAUAAACUUGGAAGACAAAAAGGAAGGUAAUCAGUUCACGUAAAAGACAAACUAAUAGAUACAAUGUACUUGUUGAACUUCGUUUUUAACAAUAAAGGAGCUCUUGUACAUAUUAGGGGGUGGAAGGCCAAAAAUAUGAAAUAUAAUAAAAUAUUACUUUGUAAGUUAAAGAGAGUUUACUAUGAUUUUUGCUGAGGUCACCAAAUAUUGCGUAGAUUGUUUUAUUAUUCAUUUUUUGUUAGGUAUAUCGACGAGUAAUCGAUUACUGGACUAUUGUUCGGCCAUCAUCUUCGACAUAUUUUUCUUAUUCAUUAAGAUGUAAAUACUUGUUUAUAUGUAAUUUAGAAAUAUUCAUUUUUAAUGCUUCAUUGUGUCAUAAACGGAUAACAUUUCCUGCUGUGAAAUUCAAUGGAACAGAUUCUUUAGCAUGAUCAUGGUUGAUAAAGAAAUAAAGAUAAUUUG